UACGUAGGGUGCAAGCGUUAAUCGGAAUUACUGGGCGUAAAGCGUGCGCAGGCGGUUUUGUAAGUUUGUCGUGAAAUCCCCGGGCUCGAACCUGGGAAUGGCGAUGAAGACUGCAAGGCUAGAAUCUGGCAGAGGGGGUGAGAAUUCCACGUGUGAGCAGUGAAAUGCGUAGAGAUGUGGAGGAACACCGAUGGCGAAGGCAGCCCCCUGGG
rnacentral:rRNA from 1 species